rnacentral:misc_RNA from 1 species
GAAAUGCGAUAAGUAGUGUGAAUUGCAGAAUUCAGUGAAUCAUCGAAUCUUUGAACGCACAUUGCGCCCCUUGGUAUUCCGGGGGCAUGCCUGUUCGAGCGUCAUCUACACCCUCAAGCUCUGCUUGGUGUUGGGCGUCUGUCCCGCCUCGGCGCGCGGACUCGCCCCAAAUCCAUUGGCAGCGGUCCUUGCCUCCUCUCGCGCAGCACAUUGCGCUUCUCGAGGGGCUCCGGCCCGCGUCCAACAAGAAAACAUUACCGUCUUUGACCUCGGAUCAGGUAGGGAUACCCGCUGAACUUAAGC